rnacentral:rRNA from 1 species
UGAGGAAUAUUGGUCAAUGGGUGCAAGCCUGAACCAGCCAUCCCGCGUGAAGGACGACUGCCCUAUGGGUUGUAAACUUCUUUUGUAUAGGGAUAAACCUACCCUCGUGAGGGUAGCUGAAGGUACUAUACGAAUAAGCACCGGCUAACUCCGUGCCAGCAGCCGCGGUAAUACGGAGGGUGCAAGCGUUAUCCGGAUUUAUUGGGUUUAAAGGGUCCGUAGCGGACUUAUAAGUCAGUGGUGAAAGCCUGUCGCUUAACGAUAGAACUGCCAUUGAUACUGUAAGUCUUGAGUAUAUUUGAGGUAGCUGGAAUAAGUAGUGUAGCGGUGAAAUGCAUAGAUAUUACUUAGAACACCCAAUUGCGAAGGCAGGUUACCAAGAUAUAACUGACGCUGAGGGACGAAACGCGUGGGGAGCGAACAGGAUUAAUA